GCUUCGCGCAGCUCAGUUGGUUAGAGCGUCGCACUAGAGAAGCGAACGUCACGCGGGUUCAAAUCCCGUCGUGGAGCA